rnacentral:rRNA from 1 species
GACGAACGCUGGCGGCGUGCCUAACACAUGCAAGUCGAGCGGGGUUGAAGCGAGAGGUAACUCGAACUUCUACCUAGCGGCGGACGGGUGAGUAACGCGUGGGCAACCUGCCUCAAGGUCUGGGAUAACAGCCCGAAAGGGCUGCUAAUACUGGGUAUGCUUGUGGCCUCGCAUGGGGCUAUGAGCAAAGGGGAAACCCGCCUUGAGAUGGGCCCGCGUCCCAUCAGCUAGUUGGUGAGGUAACAGCUCACCAAGGCGACGACGGGUAGCCGGCCUGAGAGGGUGACCGGCCACACUGGGACUGAGACACGGCCCAGACUCCUACGGGGGGCAGCAGUGGGGGAUCUUGCACAAUGGGCGAAAGCCUGAUGCAGCGACGCCGCGUGAGCGAAGAAGGCCUUCGGUUGUAAGCUCUGUCUGGAGGGACGAAGGAAGUGACGGUACCUCCGGAGGAAGGCCACGGCUAACUACGUGCCAGCAGCCGCGGUAAUCA